CCACAGCCAUCGAGAACAGCCGCAUUGAAGGAACCAUAAAUAUAAAAAUCCUUGUCACCCCUUCCUCUUCUUCACCGCUUCCUCUUCCUCACUGCUUCCACUUGCGCACUACCAACAAGAACUCAUCCAUUCUCUGCCAACGCCGGUGCUCCACGAUCUGCUAGACAACAUUUACAUCAAACAAAAAAGGCGGAAAAAGGGGACACUAGACCAAGAGUAGCUCGUUGACAAUGAUACCAAUACAGGGAGAGCUAACUACAAUAUCUGAUCUGCGUCUAUCAACAACCAAUGCUGUUUUACAUGUAAGAGUUUCAAGGAUGUGGGAAUUCAGAGAAGGAGGAAACGAGAAAGGAAAUAUAAAACAUCUUGACUUGGUUCUCAUUGACCUCAAGGGUGAUGCAAUCUAUGCUGAAAUACCACUAGAUGUCAUACCAAUUUUGAAGCCUCAACUAAGAGAAAAACUAAUCAUAUUCAUUGGCAAAUUUGUAGUUGAAAAAGCUAAACCUGGAUAUAAGGUGGUUCACAACCCAUAUAUGCUGAGGCUUAACAGAAGGACUACUAUUGCCACAUCAAAUGCUAAUGAUCUGGAUUUUCCAAAGUACACGUUCUCAUUAACUCCAAUCGAAAUAUUGCCACAAUUUGUUAAAAACAAAGAAUGUUUCCUAGUAGUGCGCAACACUGCAGGGGGCCUCAUGAUGAGAAGAAUAAUAAAACUCCAGAACCUAAGCGGAAAUACAAUGGAUUUAUCUCUAUCUGGCAUGCGGGCUUUAUAGUUCGAUGGUGACGCUGUCCUUAAAAUUGGACAAAAGAAUCACAUAAUUGCUAUCUUUGUUGGCACCUUAAUGAAACAAUAUAAAGAUGGAACACAUUUUCUAAGUGGAACAUCAGCUUGUCGCUGGUACAUCAACGAGAAUGAUAUACCUGCUAUAAAAGCAUUUCAAAGAAGCUUACCAGUGGACGCAACACCUGUUGAAAAAAUUGAUUUACCAAAUGAAGUUCAGACUCAUGUAGCUUUUGAAGAAAGGAAUCUGUUACAACUGAACGACAUAGAUCCUUUUACUCAAAAGGACGAACGAUAUCAGUGCACUGUAACAAUCAUAGGAAUACCAGAGAAACAACAUUGGUGCUAUCGUGCUUGUCGUGUAUGCUCAUCAAAAAUGAUAUCAGCAUCUGAUGGGUUCCAGUGUACAAAGGAUGGAGGCUACCCUUCAAAACAAUUUGAAUGGAAGUACAAAAUACCAUUUAUAGUUGCAGAUGGCACAUAUACUCUUGAGUUCAUGAUGUUCGAAAGAAGAGCUACCGAACUUAUUGGUAAAAGUGCUGAAACAUUAAGGAAAUACAAUGACCUAGAUAUAAUUCCAAACGAAAUUUCACAAUGGAUUGGGCACAAGUUCACAUUUGUUGUAAGGAUUUUAUAUAAAAAGAGCAUGAGGACUGAACAUCCAUCAUUUGAGGUUCUGUUGAUAAAAGAUCGCCAUGGAAAGCAAGCAGUACUCCCAUUGUUAAACACUCAAUCAUCAGCACAAGAAACAGGAACAUCAUCAGCUUUACUUCCAACCAAGGAUCUACCUGAACUAAUGACUAUAUCUUCGAAAACACCAACAGAUUAGGAACUUGCAAUGCUAACUCAAUCCUUUGGAGAAUUUGAUGAUAUGGACAUUGAUAAGUCGCCAAGAGAUUGGGAUAAUACACCAUCUGCAGCUAAAAGAAGGCCUUAUGAUGAUAUUCAGGAUGAUGACAACAAACAGGUGUUUAAGAAAGGCAAGAAAUCUCAUAUGCAGCCAUCAACCAAGUAACAAGUUACAACAGAUAUUGGCCGUGUGACAACUAUUUUGGUGCUUUCUUCAGAGCUGCCUUUUGUGGCUUCCUGUGUGACAGCCAAACAAAACUUAUGCCCACAAUACUUUUGCAGUGGCUCUCAUUUUGGUGUAUAUAAUAAUGCCACUCUUCCAAGUAACUUGUUUCAACAACUCCUUUGGCCAUGUGACAGCUAUUUUGGUGCUUUCUUCAGAGCUGCCUUUUGUAGCUUCCUGUGUGACGGCCAAACAAACUUAUACCCACAAUACUUUUGCAGUGGCUCUCAUUUUAGUGUAUAUAAAAAUGCCACUCUUCCAAGUAACAAGUUACAACAGAUAUUCGCUAUGUGACAGCGCUGCCUUUUGUGGCUUCUGGUGUGACAGCCAAACACAACUCAUAUCCACGUCAAUUCUGUAGUGCCUCUCAUUGUGGUAUAUAUAAUGCCACUCUGCUUAGUGUCCCUUUCAAAGUGGGGUUCUGUGAUACUUGCAACACUAAAUGUACCUCUUAUGAAAUAUAUCUAUAUGUAAUAUAUAAAACCAUGAACUAUUAUGAACACUGGUAUAUAUAAGUUUGGGUUCUACUUUCUUGUCA